UUAUCUUUUUGGGUUUUCUUUCCCACAUUGAUAUAUGUCAAUCUUGUUUCAGCAUUUGGCUUGGAGGCGUGGUCUUUGCUCCUUCAAAGCAAAGUAUCUACUUAAUCCUUUAUGGGGACUUAUUUGUCAUUUCCCGAGGAGUUGAUUGUUGGCGAAUCAUGGAAACACCAGAAAUAAGAAAAGCCCACUCUGCUUUCGUGGACCCCCGUCAUGGAGAUUUGAUAUCAAUAUGGGAAAGUCGUCCAGAAAAUGGAUAACGCAUUACAGCAGCUCCCACGACAUACUCCUUGUUGGAGAAGGCAAUUUCUCCUUCUCAGCUUGCUUGGCCUCCGCCUUCGGCACUGCUACCAACGUGGUUGCCACUUCUCUCGACUCCGAAGAGACAUUGUUGCGAAAGUACGGCUCGGACAUUAAGACAACCUUGGAAGAGCUGAAGGAGCUGGGUUGCAGUGUGAUGCAUGGAGUGGACGUAAUGACAAUGAGCCAACACCCACUUCUCUGUCACACCUUGUUUGAUCGCAUUGUCUUCAAUUUUCCUCAUGCUGGUUUUCAAUACUCCAGAGACAAAUCAAGUAAACUCCACCAGAAUCUAGUGAGAAGAUUUCUGAGAAAUGCAAAAGAACUAUUUGUCGAAAAUGGGGAAAUUCACAUAACCCACAAGAUUUCAUAUCCUUACAGUGAGUGGGAGAUUGAGGAAGUUGCAGAAGAAGAGGACUUAUUUUUAAGAGAGGAAGUAGAGUUCAAUGAAGGGGAUUAUCCAGGUUAUGUCAAUAAGAAAGGCAGUGGGCCAAACAGCAACCGCACCUUCGCUGUUGGACUAUGCAGCACUUUCAAGUUUGUGAAAACACUGUCCAAGAAAACGAGGAAGAAGAGGUUGGCCAAGGCUGCUGAAUUUGCACAACUCAAUGCUUCAUCUAUGAGUUUGAGUUAAGCUGGUUCGAGUCGAGAAAAUUUUUAGUUCGUCCCAAUAGUUUUGGAAAUAUUAGGCUUUUGUUGGUAUUCGAUCCUUUGUAAUUAAGGUCGAGAUUAGAAAAGACAUCCGUGAUUGCUUUGUUUGAUAUGCGUAUGUAAUAGAAGAGUUGUUUUGGUAAUAGGUCUAUUAUAAGCAACAUCGUACCCAACUCGUAAUAGCUAUAAGAUUAGAUUCUAAGAUAAAUUUGAGGUACUUUCAUAUUUUCUCUCUUUUACAUUCGAUCGUACAAAACUG